CUUGCUUUGCACUUACUCCAACAAUCCAUUGAGCAUCUGCUAUAGUUUGGAUGUUUGACAUCUCCGAACCUCAUGUUGAAAUCUGAUCCCCAGGGUGGCGAUGUUGGGAGGUGGGGCCUAGUGGGAGGUGUUUGGUUAAUGGGGGCGGAUCCCUCAUGAAUAACUUGGUGCCAUUCUCAUGGGAGUGAGUUCUCACCCUAUUAGCUCCCAUGACAGCUGUUUGUUAAAAAGAUCCUGGCACCUCCCCCACCCUCUUGCUUCUUCUUUCGCCAUGUGAUCUCUGCGGUCUCUGCACAUAAUGGUUCCCCUUCUCCUUCUGCUAUGAGUGGAAGCAGCCAGAAGCUUUCAUCAGAAGCAGACGCUGGUGCCAUACCUGCAGAACUGUCAGCCAAGCAUAAUGUAAAAUUACACUGCUCUACUGCCUUGAAGUUAGAAGAGCCUGUGUGACUUGCUUUGGUCACUAAAAUUCCACUGAUUGAAAUUGACAUAUGUCACUUUCAGAUGGAAGCUUACGUGGCCAGAUACUGUCAUGUCUGAAUGGUAGUCCUGAGAUUGCGGCAGCCCUCACAUGAUGAGCCAGAGGAGGAAGCCUCAUGUGAAAGAAAGCAGGACCCACAGCCAUAGUUGCACAGAUCUAUUCAAGCCACGCUGAUCACUGCGCUAACCUCUGGAUUUGUUUGGUUACAGCAGUGAGUUUUCAGUUACUUGCAGCCUAACACAUAUGUUGCUUGAGGUUUAGCUUUUCUGGAUCGCCCUUUUUCUUAGCCCUCCACUCCCAGCCCAAGGUGGCAAUAGAGAAGGUCAGCCUACCUCCCAUCACUCCCUUGCCUUCCGCUCCUCACUCUGAGUGGGCUCUUUCCCUCACUCAAUUCUUUUUUGGCCUCCUAUCCUGGUGACCUGUAAUGAAGAGGAGUCCUCAUAAUUAAUCAUUUGGACCAACCAUGACUUUAGCUCUGAGGUUUGUGUAGAGCCCAGCCCUUCCAUGGGGAACCUAGUGUGGAUGCCCUAGCCUUUCCCAGAAAAUCACCCUUUGAGCACUUCUCAGUUUGCUUGACAAGUUCAAAGUCAUGAGCAUUUUUGAGGUAGAGUGGAGAGGACUCCACCAGACUAUUUCCCCCUAGGAUGCUGAGAGAGUGAGAAAGAGGGUUGGUGCAUACUCAACUGAAAGGAGAUGUAAAGGACAACCGUGUGCUCUUCCAGAUCCAUUGACCCAUGCUCUGCUCUUUUUCACCCUGGCCUGUGCCCUGUGAGACUGAGCUCUGCAGACUACACCACCCAAGCUCUCUUGCCUUCUGGCUUCUAGAUUGGUAGGGCCAAUAGGAGGCAGCAGCAGGAGAUUAGAAGGAGAGACUGUCAGGUAGGGAUAUUAUUCCCUCAACACUGGGAGGAUUGGCAUCCCUUUAGGACCACAGCUCCUGCCGAGUGCCCUUCAUCCACAGCUGUGUCUCUCCCCAGAAUCUGGGAUCUUUGUCUCUCUUUACUCCUUUAGGCUAGGGGUAGUAAUGGCUCCCUGGUAUUUCUAGUCCCAGGGUGUUUCAUCAGCUCUUAGGCAUUCCCCACUGACCUCUGUGUAUGCCUCUGUCAAUAGAACAAUUAAACUCCUUCACUUGAAACCUUUAAAUGUGCAUCUGCUUCCUGCCAGAACCCUGUAAUGAAUAACAGUUCUAUGAUUUUAUUCCUGUUUUACAGAUAAAAAAAUGGGGACUCAGGAGUCCAAAUGACCUGCCUUUAAAAAGUCACUGGUAGCAAAGGGUGAAGCUGCUUUGAGACCAUGUUUUCCUGAUCCAGGUUUUGUAAUUGAUCAACUCAAUCCCUUGAUGCCCACCAAUCCCUACUGGACAUCAAGAGUGAGAGUCACAAGCAGAUGUCUCUCAAAUGGGAACUGGCUGUCAC
rnacentral:lncRNA from 1 species